rnacentral:rRNA from 1 species
UACGAAGGGUGCAAGCGUUACUCGGAAUUACUGGGCGUAAAGCGUGCGUAGGUGGUUCGUUAAGUCUGCCGUGAAAGCCCCGGGCUCAACCUGGGAAUGGCGGUGGAUACUGGCGGACUAGAGUGCGGUAGAGGGUGGUGGAAUUCCCGGUGUAGCAGUGAAAUGCGUAGAGAUCGGGAGGAACAUCUGUGGCGAAGGCGGCCACCUGGACCAGCACUGACACUGAGGCACGAAAACGUGGGGAGCAAACAGG